GGUCUGGCAGCUCAACUGGUAGAGCACUUAACCGGCUUCACUGAGGUCAGGGUUUGAAUCCCUGUUCAGGUCU
rnacentral:tRNA from 1 species